rnacentral:tRNA from 1 species
GCCUGGCUGGCUCAGCUGGUAGACAGCAUGUGACUCUUAAUCCCAGGGUUGUGAGUUCAAGACCCACGCUGGGUG